UACGUAGGGGGCAAGCGUUGUCCGGAUUUAUUGGGCGUAAAGAGCGUGUAGGCGGUUAGGUAGGUCCGUUGUGAAAACUCGAGGCUCAACCUCGAGACGCCGAUGGAAACCAUCUAACUAGAGUCCGGAAGAGGAGAGUGGAAUUCCUGGUGUAGCGGUGGAAAUGCGCAGAUAUCAGGAAGAACACCGGUGGCGAAGGCGGGUCUCUGGGCCGAUACUGACGCUGAGGCACGAAGGCCAGGGGAGCAAACGGG
rnacentral:rRNA from 1 species